CACCCACACAGCGGAUACAAACCGCUUCCUGCUACACUGCUUUGAUCAACAGCACACAACAAAAAAAGGGUCUCGAGUUGAAAGCUCGGGCCAUUAACUGAAAGCUUCUUAAUUUGGCGUCGACGGUGAGUUGACUUUUUAUUUGUCCGUCUUAAUUUGUGGGCAUUACGCCGGUGACCUUAAGGUGAACCCAUGAGGCCAUGACGUCAGCAGGCUAACUUCUUUAAAACCAACCGGCCGAGUCCAUCAAAGGCGUGAAGGGGGUUCGCGUUGUGUCACAGUUCCUUGUGCCUCGGCUGACCGGCCAACGCGAAGAGUGAAGCAGGUGCAUCGAUACCGAGAAGGAGUCCGUCAUCAUGUGAAGAUCACACUUUCAUAUCUAGCACCGAGGAACGUUGGGGGACUAAGAGGUCGUCUGGCUUUGGACCGAGGCCGAGCCGCCUUCCAUGGGAGAACGACUGCUUGUUUGUUAACGCCAGAAAGCUCCCAUGUGGUGAAAGGAACUCCGAUUAGCUUUUUUAUUGAACCGAAUGAAACAUUUCAAAUGAAACCUUUUGGAACACAGUCUGAGUCCUACCACCAGGAAAGGUCAGUGCCUUAUUGCUUCGGAUGAAAUCAGAAAAGUCUUACCAAGCAGCGGCGAGCAACUGAAGUAAGAGACACAACUGACAGGAACUCAAACAUGAUAUGGCCGCGGUUCCAGUCAAAGUGCUGCAGAACGAGACAGACACUGUCGGUUUACAUCAAAGCAACAGCAGCCACGCUGUUUGGAGGACUUGUCACGGCUGUGCUGAAGAUGAUUACACUCCGGUUCCUUUAUCGACAGUUGUGGACUCCAAAAUAUACAGUUGCCCUCGUCUUUUUGGUAUAAGAAGUCUGAUGUUCUUGAAAAGCACCCACACAGCUCAAUCUGUAUUCGUGCAGACGUUCAGGCUUAAUGUUGCAACCAGUGUUGUUUCUAGAAUUUGUUCUUCUGCCUUGUGACUUUUGCGUUCUUCUGGCAGGACUGUUUUUUUUUUUCUUCAUUUUUCUGAUUCUUUAUUUUGCCAUUCCUUAACAUCCGGUAGAGCAAAAAUAUGCUGUGGUAAUUAAUAUGAUAAUAACGUGUGGUGGCAAUGUUUUCCAGGCGUCUUCGGGUGCCAUGCGGGAUUGAGGUCUCGGCGGGAGAGACAC